GACGAACCGUGCGAACGUUAUUCGGAAUCACUGGGCUUAAAGCGCGUGUAGGCGGGCCGGCACGUCCGAGGCUGAAAUCCCCCGGCUCAACCGGGGAACGGGCCCGGAUACGACCGGCCUGGAGGGGGGUAGGGGGCGCCGGAACUCACGGUGGAGCGGUGAAAUGCGUUGAGAUCGUGAGGAACGCCCGUGGCGAAAGCGGGCGCCUGGACCCCGCCUGACGCUGAGACGCGAAAGCUAGGGGAGCGAACGGG
rnacentral:rRNA from 1 species